UACAGAGGUGGCAAGCGUUGUUCGGAAUUACUGGGCGUAAAGGGCGCGUAGGCGGCCUACUAAGUCAGACGUGAAAUCCCUCAGCUCAACUGGGGAACUGCGUCUGAUACUGGUUGGCUUGAGUGCAGGAGAGGAACGCGGAAUUCCAGGUGUAGCGGUGAAAUGCGUAGAUAUCUGGAGGAACACCGGUGGCGAAGGCGGCGUUCUGGACUGCAACUGACACUGAGGAACGAAAGCCAGGGGAGCAAACGGG
rnacentral:rRNA from 1 species